ensembl:lncRNA novel transcript
GCAGCCGCCUUUGUACGCGUGAUUUAUGACUUCAAUCUUGGUUCACCGAGAGUUCACACGGCUUUCGCUGCUGUUGAAGGACACCUGAGGGCCCAGCCCCCAUGGAUCUCUCAGUGCCUGUCUGGUCCAGAGGGAGCCAGUGGCUCUUGCCAGCACAUCACCAUUUUGUGCUCCACGAGGGGGUGGUCCAUGGAGUCAUCUCAUCUUUCAGCCCAGACCUCACUCACUCUUUCUCCAAGCCACGCCAACAUUCCUUGGUCUCUCCCAAGCCAGGAGGCAGCCUUGUUUUCUCUAGAUCAGAGAGAUGGCUUCUGGAUUCAUCUUUCCCUGCAAUCCAGCUUCUCCUCCUGGGGCCCUCAUACUGGAGACUGGGAUCAUCAUCCAGGCUUUUGCACUGGGCCAGGAAUUUGGGAGUCAUCCUGGAUCCGUCUGCCCCUGUCAACCUUUCGCUGUCAACGGAUAUUUAUUGGGCGUCCUCAACAGCCAGGCCCUGUUCAUGGUACUGAAGAACAGCUUGUAUAAAACAACCCUGCCCUCACAGGGCGAUCACCAGUGACCUGUGGUGUGGAGUCUCCUUUUACCUAUGUCUCCUCCUUCCCACUGUCACCAUCCUUGGUCCUCCUCUGUCACCUGGAAUACUCCACUUGGUAACCAGCAUGAUCUUAUAACGCUAGUUUUACCCUUGUCAGCACUUUGCCAAAAACCUCAAAUAAAGACUUUUUUUAAAAUGUGCAAUGGAAAAAUAAAGUUAUAAAUUAUAUCAUAA